GUGCCUCUGCCCACGUUGGUCCACAGGCUGCUGCUCCAUUCCUCUCCACCUGAGAGACCACCUUCCUCCUAGUCAUAGUCUCUAGGAUGCUCCAGACCUUGUAUGACUACUUCUGGUGGGAACGACUAUGGCUGCCUGUGAACUUAACCUGGGCUGAUCUAGAAGACAAAGAUGGACGUGUCUAUGCCAAAGCCUCAGACCUCUACAUCACACUACCCCUGGCCCUGCUCUUUCUCAUCAUUCGAUACUUCUUUGAGCU
rnacentral:lncRNA from 1 species